rnacentral:tRNA from 1 species
GCCUUUAAGGUGUAACGGUAGCACACUCGGCGCGUAUUCGAGAGAUCCAGGUUCGAAUCCCGGCGAAGACA